GGGCUUGCUUUGGCAGCCCAUAUACUAAAAUUGGAUACAUAGAGAGAAGAUUAGCACAGUCCACAUGCAAAGGUGCCACACAAAUUAAAAAAAAAUUCUGUAUUUUU
ensembl:snRNA U6 U6 spliceosomal RNA